GGCGCGUUUCAGGCAUGCAAGUCGAACGGUAACAGGUCCUUCGGGAUGCUGACGAGUGGCGAACGGGUGAGUAACGCGUAGGUAAGCUACCCUAAGGACUGGUAUAGCUCUACGAAAGUAGGAUUAAUCCCGGUUAUACUGUAAAUAACCUAAGUUAUUAACAGGAAAGAUUUCGGUCGCCUUAGGUUGUGCCUGCGUUAGAUUAGCUUGUUGGUGGGGUAAUGGCUCACCAAGGCGAUGAUCUAUAGCCGAGCUGAGAGGCUGGUCGGCCACAUUGGAACUGAGAUACGGUCCAGACUCCUACGGGAGGCAGCAGCUAAGAAUCUUCCGCAAUGGUCGAAAGACUGACGGAGCGACGCCGCGUGAAUGAUGAAGGCCUUACAGGUUGUAAAAUUCUUUUAAUAGGGACGAAUGUUUAACUUUAGGUUAAUCUGACGGUACCUUUUGAAUAAGAUCCGGCUAACUACGUGCCAGCAGCCGCGGUAAUACGUAGGGAUCGAGCGUUGUUCGGAAUUACUGGGCGUAAAGGGUACGCAGGCGGUUUGAUAAGUCAGAUGUGAAAUCUCGCGGGCUCAACCCCGAGGCUGCGUCUGAUACUGUCAGGCUAGGGUUACUGAGAGGAAGACGGAAUUUCUGGUGUAGGGGUGAAAUCUAUAGAUAUCAGAAAGAACACCGGUUGCGAAGGCGGUCUUCUAACAGUUAACCGACGCUGAGGUACGAAAGGCAGGGUAGCAAACAGGAUUAGAGACCCUGGUAGUCCUGCCUGUAAACGUUGUAUACUAGGUGGUGGGCGCAUUGAUCCGUUCACUGCCGCAGCUAACGCAUUAAGUAUACCGCCUGGGGAGUAUGCCGGCAACGGUGAAACUCAAAGGAAUUGACGGGGGCCCGCACAAGCAGUGGAGCAUGUUGUUUAAUUCGAUGAUACGCGAGAAACCUUACCAGGUCUUGACAUAUACAUGACGCUUAUAGAGAUAUAAGUUCUCUUCGGAGCAUGUAUACAGGUGCUGCAUGGUUGUCGUCAGCUCGUGCCGUGAGGUGUUGGGUUAAGUCCCGCAACGAGCGCAACCCCUAUUCUCUGUUGCUAACGGUUCGGCCGAGCACUCGGAGGAAACUGCCGGUGACAAACCGGAGGAAGGUGGGGAUGACGUCAAAUCAUCACGGCCCUUAUGACCUGGGCUACAAACGUGCUACAAUGGGCGGUACAAUGAGUUGCGAGAUUGCGAAAUUAAGCUAAUCUCAAAAAGCCGUCCUCAGUUCGGAUUGGAGUCUGAAACCCGACUCCAUGAAGCUGGAAUUGCUAGUAAUCGCACAUCAGCAUGGUGCGGUGAAUACGUUCCCGGGCCUUGUACACACCGCCCGUCACAUCACCCGAGUUGGUUAUACCCGAAGUAUCUGAGCAAACCCUUACGGGAUGCAGGGUCCGAAGGUAUGGUCGGCAAGGGGGAUGAAG
rnacentral:rRNA from 1 species